rnacentral:rRNA from 1 species
UACGUAGGUGGCGAGCGUUGUCCGGAUUUACUGGGCGUAAAGAGCGCGCAGGCGGUCGUUCAAGUCGCGUGUGAAAGCCCCCGGCUCAACUGGGGAGGGUCACGCGAUACUGAUCGACUCGAAGGCAGGAGAGGGUAGUGGAAUUCCCGGUGUAGUGGUGAAAUGCGUAGAUAUCGGGAGGAACACCUGUGGCGAAAGCGGCUCACUGGACCACAACUGACGCUGAGGCGCGAAAGCUAGGGGAGCAAACAGG